rnacentral:rRNA from 1 species
UACGGUAGGGUGCGAGCGUUGUCCGGAAUUAUUGGGCGUAAAGAGCUUGUAGGUGGUUGUCGCGUCGCUGUGAAAAUCCCGUAGGCUCAACCUCGGACUUGCAGUGGGUACGGGCAGACUAGAGUGUGGUAGGGGAGACUGGAAUUCCUGGUGUAGCGGUGGAAUGCGCAGAUAUCAGGAGGAACACCGAGUGGCGAAGGC